GAAUAUUGGACAAUGGGCGCAAGCCUGAUACAGCCAUGCCGCGUGCAGGAAGACGGUCCUAUGGAUUGUAAAAUGCUUGUAUACAGGAAGAAACACCCCGACGUGUCGGGACUUGACGGUACUGUAGGAAUAAGGAACGGCUAACUCCGUGCCCACAGCCGCGGUAAAACGGAGGAUCCAAGCGUUAUCCGGAAUCAUUGGGUUUAAAGGGUCCGUAGGCGGGCUUAUAAGUCAGUGGUGAAAUCUCCCAGCUCAACUGGGAAACUGCCAUUGAUACUGUAGGUCUUGAAUUAUUAGGAAGUAACUAGAAUAUGUAGUGUAGCGGUGAAAUGCUUAGAUAUUACAUGGAAUACCAAUUGCGAAGGCAGGUUACUACUAAUAUAUUGACGCUGAUGGACGAAAGCGUGGGUAGCGAACAGG
rnacentral:rRNA from 1 species